CGCGAAUUCGCCCUUCGGGGUGCCCAGGCGCGAAAACUUUACAAUGCUGGCAACAGCGAUAAGGGGACCUCGAGUGCCAGGUUACAAAUCUGGCUGUCGUGAUGCCUAAAAAGCAUUGCAUAGCAAGGGCCGGGCAAGACCGGUGCCAGCCGCCGCGGUAACACCGGCGGCUCGAGUGGUAACCGUUAUUAUUGGGUCUAAAGGGUCUGUAGCCGGCCGGAUAAGUCUCUUGGGAAAUCCAGCAGCUCAACUGUUGGGCUUUCAGGAGAUACUGUCUGGCUCGAGGCCGGGAGAGGUGAGAGGUACUUCAGGGGUAGGGGUGAAAUCUUGUAAUCCUUGAAGGACCACCAGUGGCGAAGGCGUCUCACCAGAACGGACCUGACGGCAAGGGACGAAAGCUAGGGGCACGAACCGGAUUAGAUACCCGGGUAGUCCUAGCCGUAAACGAUACUCGCUAGGUGUCGGCCACGGUGCGACCGUUGUCGGUGCCGUAGGGAAGCCGUGAAGCGAGCCACCUGGGAAGUACGGCCGCAAGGCUGAAACUUAAAGGAAUUGGCGGGGGAGCAC
rnacentral:rRNA from 1 species